AUCGAUCUACUUUGUCUAUAGUCUUAAUUUGUCCAAUCGUAUCACUUAUUGUUAUUAUUAUUAUCAUUAUUAUCUUUAUUUUUAACUGAAAAAUAUGGCUCAUUCAAGUUAAAUCUGAAUGACUCAACUCACAUUGGGUUAUUUUCAUCCCAUUAGGAGUGACAUCUCUAUUAAUUAUACGUGCUGACUAUUGGCUCUUAUCUAGU
rnacentral:lncRNA from 1 species